rnacentral:rRNA from 1 species
UACAUGGGGUGCAAACGUUGCUCGGAAUUAUUGGGCGUAAAGCGCACGUAGGUGGUCUGUUAUGUCAGAUGUGAAAGCCCUCGGCUUAACUGAGGAAGUGCACCUGAAACUGGCAGGCUUGAGUACGAAAGAGGGUCGCGGAAUUCCCGGUGUAGAGGUGAAAUUCGUAGAUAUCGGGAGGAACACCAGUGGCGAAGGCGGCGACCUGGGCCAAUACUGACGCUGAGGUGCGAAAGCGUGGGGAGCAAACAGG